AUGCGGGUGCUAUACAUGCAGUCGAGCGGACAGAUGGGAGCUUGCUCCCUGAUGUUAGCGGCGGACGGGUGAGUAACACGUGGGUAACCUGCCUGUAAGACUGGGAUAACUCCGGGAAACCGGGGCUAAUACCGGAUGCUUGAUUGAACCGCAUGGUUCAAUUAUAAAAGGUGGCUUUUAGCUACCACUUACAGAUGGACCCGCGGCGCAUUAGCUAGUUGGUGAGGUAACGGCUCACCAAGGCAACGAUGCGUAGCCGACCUGAGAGGGUGAUCGGCCACACUGGGACUGAGACACGGCCCAGACUCCUACGGGAGGCAGCAGUAGGGAAUCUUCCGCAAUGGACGAAAGUCUGACGGAGCAACGCCGCGUGAGUGAUGAAGGUUUUCGGAUCGUAAAACUCUGUUGUUAGGGAAGAACAAGUACCGUUCGAAUAGGGCGGUACCUUGACGGUACCUAACCAGAAAGCCACGGCUAACUACGUGCCAGCAGCCGCGGUAAUACGUAGGUGGCAAGCGUUGUCCGGAAUUAUUGGGCGUAAAGCGCGCGCAGGCGGUUUCUUAAGUCUGAUGUGAAAGCCCCCGGCUCAACCGGGGAGGGUCAUUGGAAACUGGGGAACUUGAGUGCAGAAGAGGAGAGUGGAAUUCCACGUGUAGCGGUGAAAUGCGUAGAGAUGUGGAGGAACACCAGUGGCGAAGGCGACUCUCUGGUCUGUAACUGACGCUGAGGCGCGAAAGCGUGGGGAGCGAACAGGAUUAGAUACCCUGGUAGUCCACGCCGUAAACGAUGAGUGCUAAGUGUUAGAGGGUUUCCGCCCUUUAGUGCUGCAGCAAACGCAUUAAGCACUCCGCCUGGGGAGUACGGUCGCAAGACUGAAACUCAAAGGAAUUGACGGGGGCCCGCACAAGCGGUGGAGCAUGUGGUUUAAUUCGAAGCAACGCGAAGAACCUUACCAGUCUUGACAUCCUCUGACAACCCUAGAGAUAGGGCUUCCCCUUC
rnacentral:rRNA from 1 species